rnacentral:tRNA from 1 species
UCCCUGGUGGUCCAGUGGUUAGGACUCUGUACUUUCACUGCAGGGGCCACGGGUUCAAUCCCUGGUGGAGGAA